rfam:Papio anubis isolate 1X1155 chromosome X, whole genome shotgun sequence.
GGGAAACAGAAGAGGGGCCAGCCUCAGGCCCCACAACAAACUGGGGCA